AGACUCCAGAAGCCACAUGAAGAAAAGACCAAUCAAUCUUCUAUUUAUGGGAGGUGGCACUGGAAGCAAGAGUGGUUAUUGAUUCAAAAUUCCACCCAUUAACUAGAGUCUUUUCCUUCAAGAAGGAAAUUCUUUCCAAGCCAGAAAGAAAAAAUUGGAAUACUGUAUAAAUGUAAAGCAAUGUAUUGAAGCUCAAGUACUCCAACACGCAAAAUACAUCUGUGGAAGGUAACUUGGACUCUAGUACUUUAAACUUGUAAUUAUCAACAAAUUUUCUCAAAGAAGAAAAGCAAUCACCGACUAAGAAUUCAACAAAGGAUCUUUUCCCUCCCUACUCUUCUCUACCCGGACUGUUUCCUGACAGAAAGAAAAAAAGCUCCAAAGCCACCGCUUCCCGAGGCACGGAUGUACCAGGCCUACCCAUGAGACACGCGUUGCCCGAUGCCAGUCAGGCAGCCCUCGCUGUUGCUUAAGACCAUAGCUGGAGCUGGUGCGGCUGACUCACAAGACAGGAAAGCUGGAUCGGCCCAACAGGAAGGCAGAGGAGUCACUCGCCCCUCAGUGACUCUGAGCGUUGUCCGGCAGGUCGUGGAACACGUGUCCUGUCAGAUCCUGUUACCAGAGGUUGGUCUCAGUUAUGAAAGGAGUCUUGGUUGUUGGGUCUUCCCUGAAUUACAAGGAGGCCCCUCCCCGCCCAGUGGAAAGAGCACAGCAUGAACAAAGAGCAGUUUUAGCAAGCAAAUGUAUUGGGAGAUAAGCGGGGACCCGGGUGAAAACGGAGGCCCUGAGAGAUCGCAGGUCCUCUCGGACAGGGAGAAGGAGCAGGGCCUGAAGGAGGCUGCAGCCCCCAGGACUGGGCUUGGCUUUUCGGACCUUGGAGACCACGUCAAGGGCUGUGGCUCCCCCCCGCCGCCAACCGGCAGUGGGUCUUUACCGGUCUUAUAUGGUCUUGGCCCUAAUGAGCAUGAUUGUGGUCCUAUACAAAGGGGCAUAGGGGCAAACCACACUUUAAAUAUAUGCUAAUGAGGCUUAUUUAGGUUAGUCUGGGGUUCGGUGCGCGUGCUGACUCCAGGCUUACAUCGUUGCCUAUGUUUUUGUCCUGGUGAUACCAAGAUGAAACAUUCUUGUCAGGCGCACAUGAAAUUAGAGCUGGGAAGAAAUGAAGGGAGAGGGCUCAGGUUUGUUUAAAUACGCGUUCCAAGGUCCAAAC